UGCGGUUGGAGACGCAACAGUGAAGUGUCUAUAGUGCGGAGCAUCUGCGUAAUGCCUGGGGACCGUCGCUUCAGGUGUGGCCCGCUCAGUCGAUGUGACAGACAGCUUGACAACAGUCCCUCGUCCAACGCUGGGGAUGCGUUGUUCCUCGAAAGCGAUGCCUUCGGUGAAUCCGCGUUGGACAAACUUCAUAUUGCAUGAGAUUAAUAGGGAUACGAUAACGCGACCGUGGAAAAUCAAAGUAGAUAAACAUCCAUAAAUGUACUGUAAUGAUAUUUAUUUGUGAUACUUAAACUUAUCGUUGGAAAGUUAGGCUUUAAAAUAAAACUUCAACGGAACUUUCUGCAAAACGCUAUGCGCACCACGCAAUGCAUCUAGCAUAUUUUAUGUUCUCAUCUAGUGCCACAAACAUAAACUUUCCUCUGCUUCAUCGUAACUUUUACAUUCACGCUGUCAAAGGAAAAUAUCAUACACCGUAAAACAAUACGAGACAAGUUAGUUAACACAAUGACAACGUAAGACCGAGGGUUACGUGCAGUUUCAGUGACGAAGACAGGGUACAAAAGGCGUGGAAGGAAUAAAUCGUGGGAUGAAUAAAACAAACCAAAUUGGUUAUACAAACACAUACCUAAAAUCUAAUCGUCAUCGGCUUUUCAAAUAGCAGUGGUAUUUUUCGUAUGCUAAUACAGCGAGUUUGGCAGACCGCGAAAAUCGUGUUUUCCGCGCUCGUCAAACAGUCGUUAUCGUUUAUUUUCACGCGUAUAAUCGAAUCCGCUUUGGACGAUGGUUUACUUUGUGUUACUUAUUGUACUCCCAACCUUCACUUCAAGCUGGUUUAUAAUUUCAUUUCGGUAAUGCUUCUUACAAGAAGUGUAAAUUUUACUUCAGCAUAAACAUGUUACCUCAUAAGGUUCGUACACGCACCCACAUAAACAUACAUAUAUACAUUUGUAGGCAUAUACAUAAGUAUAAAAGCACUGGAACAUAUUUUCUCACAUAGGAACCAAUAGAAAUUUCCUGGAAAUGUUUGAUGCAUUAAACAGUAGUUGCUUCUAUGAGUUUGUUUAUAGCUUCAUGACUUGAACACUUAAUGUUGUGUAGGGUUAUGGAAAAAAUUACUUACACUGGAUUACAACGUAAUCUUUGGUUUUGUUUUAUGUUCAUUUGUUAAUAAACUUUUUGUAACAGCCAGUGCAUGAAACAGAACACUUAUGGAAGCUUUAUGUUCUUCAGUAUGUACUGCAACUUUCCAAUCUUGUUUAUUUUGAGAAUCUAACAAUACUCAUGAAUAAAGUCUAUUGGACACU